rnacentral:rRNA from 1 species
GAUGAACGCUGGCGGCGUGCCUAAUACAUGCAAGUCGAGCGAACGGACGAGAAGCUUGCUUCUCUGAUGUUAGCGGCGGACGGGUGAGUAACACGUGGAUAACCUACCUAUAAGACUGGGAUAACUCCGGGAAACCGGAGCUAAUACCGGAUAAUAUUUUGAACCGCAUGGUUCAAAAGUGAAAGACGGUCUUGCUGUCACUUAUAGAUGGAUCCGCGCUGCAUUAGCUAGUUGGUAAGGUAACGGCUUACCAAGGCAACGAUGCAUAGCCGACCUGAGAGGGUGAUCGGCCACACUGGAACUGAGACACGGUCCAGACUCCUACGGGAGGCAGCAGUAGGGAAUCUUCCGCAAAGGGCGAAAGCCUGACGGAGCAACGCCGCGUGAGUGAUGAAGGUCUUCGGAUCGUAAAACUCUGUUAUUAGGGAAGAACAUAUGUGUAAGUAACUGUGCACAUCUUGACGGUACCUAAUCAGAAAGCCACGGCUAACUACGUG